UAGCCCAAUGUUAAGCACCCCCGCCCUAUCUUUUUCUCUAAAAUUGAUUAAAAGUAAAUAUGAAACAAUCCAACUUCAUAUUUUAUUCUAUAAUGAAAUUCACUCCAUGGAGUAAUCUAUUUUUUUUUUGUUCACCACUCUAUUAUGGAGCAAGAAAUAGAGUAAAGUUAGAACAAUUUUACUUUAUUUUCACUUUUACACCAUUCCGGAGCAAAAAAUAGGAUUUUACGUUGGAGAUGCUCUAAGCCCAAUUACAUUUUAAAUAAUAUUAAUUUGACAUCAGCCCAAAAAGGUUGGAAAAUUGUCAUAAAUGCCACAUUCAUAGUACCACUUUCAUGUUUUUUUAGAUGAAAUGUUAAAUUUACUAGGGGCAUUGUCUCCGCGCAAACGCGAAGUUAUGAAGAGAGUUUUUGUUUCAUCUCAAUAUUUGCUAGGGUUAUUGUAGUUGUGAAUUUUGCGUUUUGGGUUGAUCAUCGUUUUUCAAGUUUUUUUUAUUGUUAUAGGGUUAGAGUUGUGAUGAUGAACUGUGCAGGUAUUGUUCUCCACUUAUGAAUGACUAAACUGGGUUAGUAAUGUGAUUGAUAUAGUUCGUGGUGUUGUUUGAUGUGUUACUGAAACUUAUUGUUUGUUUGUCUUUUUAAUUUGUUUCUUAUACUAUUGAGAGUACAUAAAUUAUAUUAAGGUUGUUGAUAAUACUUUUUGUUUCUGGAUAUUUUUUUUCUACUUUAGUUGUGUAAGUUGUGUGUAUUAAGUAAGAAUUUUUAUUAUCCUUUUUAUGUUUGUUAUAUGUUUUGUUUUUAAAUUGUUGCUUUUACCGGACAUUUAAAAUGAAGAAUUGUAGAAAUAACUAUAAAAUGAGUGACAGUUCUGAGUAUUUGUGCCUUAAUGGGUUUUAAAUAAAUUUAUGUAUUUCUCAUAAGAAGACUAUAGCAUUGGCAUGUUAACAUUGGGCAUGUAAGCUAUUUUCAUAAGACAAGGGGAGUGAUCAGGUGGAGAUGUUCUUACCGCCUUUGUGUCUGUCAGGAUUGUCUCUUAUAUCUCUUGGUGUGCAUGUGUUUGUUUCUCUUUUAUUUGAUGGGUAAUAUGUAAACAAAAAUCGUUGUUAGUUGUAUUUAUCAGAGUUCGUAACUGAUUCUGCUAUUUUGUUUAGAUGAUUUCAGUGAUCUUGGUUGUCGUCUUCGUCUUCUUCGUAAGCAUUUGCGAAAGUAAGUUUGUAAAUUGUUAAAUAGCUAGCCGUGUAGUUUGUAUUUGUUUAGCUGAUUCAAUGUAUGUGUCGCUGAGUUUUAAUUGAGGUGAUUGGUUUGAUAUAUUUGUUUUGAAGUUUAUUUAUAAGAUUAGACACAAAAAAACGUAAUCAGGGGCGGAGCUACACCCUAAGGAGGUGUGGCACGUGCCACAGACUACUUAUAAAAAUUCCCCGUACUUAAGUUUAUAAGGUAAAAGCUCCUAGCUCUUUUGGCUUAAAAGGCUCAAAGUGCCCCAUGUAACUCAAGUUCAAACUCUUCAACUUACAUUUGUUUUUCAGAUUGUUUUAACACUUUGCUUUUUUUUAUAAGAAAUUACAGUAUUGAUCACGUAAAAUAUAGAUGUUUUCAUAACACUUUAUUAUUACUAUAUUUUAGUAUCUUUUCAUAAAAUAAAAUUUCUCUUUUCUUUUUUUUCUAUCUAAUAAAAAUGAUUUUAUUUUCUUCAUUUUCUUUAAUAUUAUUUUACCUUUUCUAAAACUAAAUUAUUUUCACUACAAGAAAAAAAUAUUUUUGAGGAGGGCAAUAUUCCUUGUUAAUUAGACACCCCUGUAUUGAUCGGCGAGUUAGACCUUCCUAUUAAUAAGACAUACAUUUUCCAUAGUUUAUAGUAGUCCAAGCUUUCUUCUUUUAAAUUGCUUCUAAUACUCGCCAUCAUAAACAUGUACCCUAUGUCUGAGUGGAUUUUAAGAUCCAACACCAAACCAAAAAAAAGUUAUAAAAAAAAUAAUCCUCCGCACAGUUAUCUAACAAUACUAAAAGGCUAAUAUACUCAAUGGAAAGGCAUGCCACCUCAGAUUAAAAAAUCAGCCAAUAAAAAUAAACUAUAGUGCCACAUCAUCAUGUUAUUCCUUCUCGAUGUUGGAGAUGGCCAUGCCUCUUCAGAUCACCCCGUCUCCGGAAACGCAUCUUCAACGUUUCAGAUUUUUACCACUAAUCCUCUCAUUUAUUGAUGAUUUCUCUCCAGUCUCCGAGAAUGUAUAAAAAUCCUUUGCACAAUCCUAUUUGGAGACAUCUUCGGCUUCCAUGAUUGGAAAGGACUUUGGCUCGGUGAUUUUUGUUUUGAGGCCAUGGUUGGAAGAUCUACAGGAUAUGAGGUGCACGAGAGGAUGAAAUUGAAUUUCUGAGUUCGUGGAAAUCUUACCAGAGAUGCGUUAGAUUGAAUCAAUAAUAUUGUUUCCUCCAUGGGUGAAUCCAAGUCAGGUAUGUCGUUUCUUCAGAAUGUGGUUCACAGAAGAAAGGUGCAUGCUUGGGUUCUCACUGAUCAUUCAAUAUUGCUGAAUAGAGUUUUAAUCUAGGAAGCAAUGGUACAAUAAAAAACUCUUCCAACAGCCUCCACGGUGAUAACAAAAGUCUCAAUAACAAGAUAUGAGAAAUCAUAAAGCAUACAUAAGACGGUGAAAACCUUUAAAGCUUCCCUAUAUAUGUAGAUGUAUGUGACAGAUUGUUCUAUUAUGUUUUUUUUUCUUUAAAGAAGUUCGAGGAUGAUGAAAGAAGCAAGAAGAGCUGGUCACAUUUUGAGGACAUGAACAACAUUUUGUACGAGUUAAGUCAUAAUGCGCCAACACUCACUGUUUAAAAGAGAACUUUAACGUAGUGGCUAAUACCAUUGUUUAUAUGAUAUAGGUUUUCACAAGAACGAGAAUAAGAAUGAUUUUUUUUUUCUAGAGGAACCUUUUUCUAACCAUCGCAUGGUCUAUGUUGCAAAAGUAAGCUCAUAAAAUGUAGUACGUUAUUAGCUCUUCACUGUACAGUGUUGGUUUGGGAUAGUGUUCACUUCUGCGUGUCUA